CCAGAGUGAACCUUUCUUCUUUAACUUUGCUCGUUGUUGGGCGCCAGUGUGCAGAUAUAUCAACACUCACAUAACUGCUUCUCAGGCAAGGAAUACCUUCCCACUGUUAACGGCUUCGUCCGCACCCAACAACAACUGUGUUCCCAGCUAUAAGCGCACUGCACGCAGGCACCCCAUCAAAAGUAUUCAACAACGGCAUCUAGGAGAUUCGGGUAGAAGUGGAGCACACAAUCGGGCGUUGGAAGGCGCGUUUCCAGAGCUUGAAUCUUCUGUCUCCCCAAAUCAAGUCUGCAGACCGCCACGUUAUUCGCGCAACUAUCUGGAUCGGGGUAUAUCAUACAGCUUUCAAAGUAUGCUUGACCUAUGACAACGCUUCUAGAUGACUGCAAUGCUUCACAAUUACAUCCUUGAACACGACGAUCCCGAGGAGCUUGCGGACGGGGACGUUCUCUCACAGGCUGAACUUCAGAAGAUUUUGAGGAAAGAACAGCGACGAUGAUAGAGGAGGACGCAUGAUGAGGCAGAUGCCCCCCUCACUCCAGAGACAUGUCAGGGUUCUGAUAGGAGGAGGAAAGAGGUGCAGAAAGAAGUAAAAGUCGUCAAGGGAUGGGGUCAGACAACUAUCUAUGGUGAUCUAUAACGAACAUAGUCACUUGGACCACUUGAACUAUACUGAACCAUGACGAAGCACUCACAAUUCUUAAUUCAUUCUAUCCUUCUAAUACUUUUAUUCUUAGUAUUACCAAAAGCUUAGUAAGGUCUUUCUUUCCGCCUUAUCUCCCAAUAUGCUUGUUUUUCCGUCUCAAUGGCGUCUUUUUUGCAAACUCCAUCAACCACAUUGUCCUCGUCUAGAUCGCAUUAGUCCUCUUGAUAUUUCUAUCCUCAACAGCCUCCUCCCCUCCCUUUCCUGCUGCUUCAUGUUUUUCGAUCAUCCUUAUAGCUCAGCAUUGCGCCAUGCGGCUUCUGCAUUGUAUCGCGCACUUUCGGCAUGCAUCCACUCGAUUUCGACCGCUCUCCCCCUCAUUGCUCCUAUCGUCCUCCACCUUCCACCUUGCCUCCCUGCCCCAUCUUUCCUCCGUCCUGCCAGUAGCAGUGGCUUCGGCUUGGAAGGCCGCAAGCUCCAUGCGGCCCUUUUGGUCAACUACGUUAACUUGCUACAUCAUCUCAAUUAGGUUAUCUUGAACUUUUUUUCCCCUUUAGAAUCUUGUGCACAAAAUACCAG
rnacentral:sRNA from 1 species